UACGUAGGGUGCGAGCGUUAAUCGGAAUUACUGGGCGUAAAGCGUGCGCAGGCGGUUCGCAAAGUCUGAUGUGAAAGCCCCGGGCUCAACCUGGGAACUGCAUUGGAAACUAACGGGCUCGAGUGUGGCAGAGGGGGGUGGAAUUCCACGUGUAGCAGUGAAAUGCGUAGAGAUGUGGAGGAACACCGAUGGCGAAGGCAGCCCCCUUGGCUAACACUGACGCUCAGGCACGAAAGCGUGGGGAGCAAACAGG
rnacentral:rRNA from 1 species